CAACUAGUCCCUCUGUCCCAAAUUUCUUGUCUUAGAUUUGUCUAGAUACGGAUGUAUCUAAUACUAAAAUGUGACUUGAUACAUCCGUAUCUAGACAAAUCUAAGACAAGAAUUUUGGGAUGGAGGGAGUACUUU
rnacentral:pre_miRNA from 1 species